UUAGAAAACCUUUCUCUUUCUCUCUGACUGAGCUGAGAAUAUCCACAGAAAUGUGAUGAUAUUAUAAACCAAAAUGGUGAAAAAUAGUGUGUUUCCUUGGAGAAUUGGGCCCGGGCAUUGUGGCAGCUGGGGCAGAGGUUGGCCGAGAGAAGGAAGCAGGCGGGGGGUGAUGUGCGGGGUGCCUAAUUUCACUAAUUUCAACUAAAGACCAAAUCAGACUUUUGAAUAUUUACCUACAAAUAUUUAGCUUUAGGUACUGCCUUUAGGAAGAUCUUAAGCUGACCUAAAGUAGGAAUCCAAGCAGUGCCGCUCAGUUUCACAGACACUGAGGACAGCCCCAGCCCGGGAGAGCAGCGGAGCCACCUCGGGCCGCCGAUAAAAACCGGGAACGAGCGAACGAGCCAACCCCUCCUCCGAGCAGCCCGCGGGCCGCUCCCGGAGCCGCCCCGGGGCGGGACCGGCUCCGCCGGCUGCGGGCGCGCAGGUGGGUCGGGGGCUCGGGCGGGUCCCCGAGGGGGGUGUCCCCCCAGGCAGUGUCCCCAGGGUGUCCCCAGGGUGUCCCCCCCGCCCCGGGCCGGGGUCGCACCGCGGGCGGCAGCGGCGAUUUCGGCAGCCCCGGCUCCCGCAGCGUUUCCCUCUCGGGGCUCGUCCUGCUGCGGCAAACACGGAGCUUUCCUGGUUUUCCAGAUAAAAUCCGGGCUUGCGGGAGGCGCUGUUCGCCGGUAGGUGAGGGGCCCUCAGUCAGGAAAAAAAAAAAAACAAACCCAAACCAGCCAAAAACCCGGAAAAAAAGCCAGGAGGAGAAGAUGGAGGAAGCAGAAGAGGAUGACAUGACGUGUGGAGACUUGGGAAACGGACUUGGGAGAAGACCGGGAGGUGUUUAUGAAGGGGAGAACUUACAAAAUUCCUAUUCAGUUAGAUCUAGGAAGGGAUCUGGAAAGACUUGUCAUUCCCCCUUGUCAGCAAAGGUAGCGGAAGAAAGCGGUGCUGCAGCUCUUCCUGCUCCGAAACGGAACAGCUUUUUCGAUGGAUCCCUCAAAAAGCCUGCCUGUAGUUCCACACGGCAGAAUAGCUGUGAAUCAAAUACUGAAGUGUCAAAUGGAGAACUAAAGCAACAACUUCGGGAAGCUCUGGAGGAACUUGAAAUUUUGAAAGUUGAGCUUGAAGCAUCUCAAAGACAGCUUGAAGGAAAAGAUGAAGCCCUGAGAAUCCUGCAGAGCAUGGCAGUAUUUGAUAAAGCCACAAGCCAUACAAAAGCAAUGCUUCAGAAAACUGAGGAAGAAAAGAGGACUCUAGAGAAGGAAAUAAGUAUUUUGCAGUGGGAAAUUGAAUUUGAUCAGGACAGAUUUAAAAACAUAGAAGACACCUGGACAGAAAAAUAUGACAGGAUAUACUGUGAAAAUGCAGCUCUUAAGGAAGCGUUGAAACUGAGGACAGAAGAAGUUAAAACACUUAAAGCUGAAAAUGCAAUCCUGAACCAGCAGUGCUUGGAACUCCUGGCAAUGCUAGAUGUGAAACAACAGAAAGUUUUUCAGGAGAACAUGUUGUUGAACAGAAGUGACAUCACUGAUUUUACAGGUCUUGAACUGGCAGUGCUGGGAGCCUGCACCUGCAGUCCUGCUGAGGGGCAGCCCUGUCCCUGUGCCAAGGUGGCAGCUCUCACUCGGAAGCAGCUCCUUCGUCUCAAGCAAGAGACGGAAGCUCUGAGGAAGAGUAAGGACGAAGCGUACGUGACGGCGGACGCCUUCAGAGUUGCGUUCGAGCAGCAGCUGAUGCAGAGGAAGGAGCAGGCCCUGAGGCUGGCAGAAGCGAUGACCGUGAAGAAGGAAAGCAGAUUUGCGAGCUGGAGGCGUCGCGCUGGUAGCUGGGCAGGCAGCGUGCCUGGGGCUGGCUGGCACGGGGGCGAGCCGGGCUCCUCUGGCGGCGCCAGCCGUGUGCUGCUGGCCCAGCUGCUGCCCAGGGCCUCGGGGCUGCAGCUGGGGAAAGCUGGCACGGGGCUGACAGCAGCCGCGCUGUCCUUUGGGGAUUCUUUUUGGGUUUUUUUUGGUUUUUUUUUUUUUUUUCAAAUGAGCUCCGUGGAAGGGUUGGGGAAAGGGAAGAAAUGCAAAAAAAAAAAAAAGUAUAGCUGCAGCUGUUUUUAGCUCCAAGGGGGGUCUUGAGCAACCUGGUCUAGUGGAAGGUGUGGAACAAGAUGAGCUUCAAGGUCUCUUCUAAGCCAGGCCACUCCAUAAUUGACUGGAGUACUAAACUUCUUUUUUUUUUUUCCUUUAACAUUUUUAGCCUUUUAUUAUGCACGCGUAUCAAUAUUUGUGUUUAUUCGUGUUCUUACACUAAUGCAGAGUUACAAAGCCCUGUGUAAAAAGGGGAAGAAUUCCAAUCUGCAAAGUAGGAAUGAUUCUAAUAAUAUUUUACUCUUAAAAAAAAAAAUAAAGGGAUAGAGAGAAGUAUUUAAGUGCUUACAUCAUGGCCAGAACCACUGCAGAGUUUAGGAACGGCACAAUAUAUUUGUUUUGAGCACUGGCCAGGAGCUGCCAGGCUUAGAAGGGUGGUGUGUCUCCCAGGUUCCUUGGGCACUCCUGGGGUGUAGCACUAGGACAGCACAACCUUGAGUGUCUGUUUCCCCUAUACCGCCACCAUUCCUUCCAGGCUCCAUCACCUGGUGCAUCUCUUCCAUAAUUUUAGUGUAUUUCACUAUUUCUGGAAGUCUUACAAACUUGUAGGUGGCCUGUGUCGGAGAAUCUUUGGCUUUUUUAGGCUGCUUACUGUUUGAAAACAAACUGCCACGAGCUGUUGUUUAACUGGAGCGUCAGAAAAGUGUGUUUUCCGCAGAGCGAAAAGAAUCCUCAGUUUGCCCGCGUGUAAGAUCCAGGUUUAGGAGCGCCUGCUUCACCCCGAAGUCGCCUUCCCCUUCCCGCGCCGUUCCGCAGCCG